CCUACGGGUGGCAGCAGUGAGGAAUAUUGGUCAAUGGACGAGAGUCUGAACCAGCCAAGUAGCGUGAAGGAUGACUGCCCUAUGGGUUGUAAACUUCUUUUAUCUGGGAAUAAAAUGUUCCACGUGUGGGCUUUUGUAUGUAACAUAUGAAAAAGGAUCGGCUAACUCCGGUCCAGCAGCCGCGGUAAUACGGAGGAUCCGAGCGUUUUCCGGAUUUAUUGGGGUUAAAGGGGGCGUAGGUGGAUUGUUAAGUCAGUUGUGAAAGUUUGCGGCUCAAACGUAAGAUUGCAGUUGAAACUGGCAGUCUUGAGUACGGUAGAGGUGGGCGGAAUGCGUGGUGUAGCGGUGAAAUGCUUAGAUAUCACGAAGAACUCCGAUUGCGAAGGCAGCUCACUGGACUGCAACUGACACUGAGGCUCGAAAGUGUGGGGAUCGAACAGGAUUAGAUACCCGAGUAGUC
rnacentral:rRNA from 1 species